GAAGGCUAUGACGAAGGGGAGGAAGAGUGGGAAGAGGCUUACCAAGAAAGGGAAGUAAUUCAAGUUCAAAAGGAGGUCUAUGAAGAAUCACAUGAGAGAAAAGUUCCAGCCAAAGUACCUGAAAAGAAAGCACCACCACCUCCUAAAGUACCAGCUGUGCAUACAAAGAAGAUGGUUAUUUCAGAAGAAAAGAUGUUCUUUGCUUCUCACACAGAGGAGGAGGUGUCAGUCACAGUCCCCGAGGUACAAAAGGAAAUUGUUACUGAAGAGAAAAUUCACGUUGCCAUUUCCAAAAGGGUUGAACCACCACCUAAAGGUAUUAUCCCUGAGCUACCUGAGAAACCAGCUCCAGAAGAAGUGGCCCCUGUUCCUAUCCCUAAAAAAGUGGAGCCCCCAGCACCAAAAGUCCCAGAGGUGCCAAAGAAACCUGUCCCUGAAGAAAAGAUUCCCGUUCCUGUUGCAAAGAAAAAGGAAGCUCCCCCAGCUAAAGUUCCUGAAGUACAGAAGGGAGUUGUGACAGAAGAAAAAAUAACCAUUGUAACUCAAAGAGAGGAAUCUCCACCACCAGCAGUGCCAGAAAUACCAAAGAAGAAAGUUCCUGAAGAAAGGAAACCUGUUCCUCGGAAGGAGGAAGAAGUUCCACCACCACCAAAAGUGCCAGCUCUGCCUAAGAAACCCGUCCCAGAGGAGAAAGUUGCAGUGCCAGUUCCUGUCGCUAAGAAAGCUCCUCCUCCCCGAGUGAUGGAAGAGCCUGAGGAAUAUGUUGUGGAAGAAAAGCUGCACAUUAUUUCUAAGAGAGUGGAAGCUGAGCCAGCUGAAG
rnacentral:lncRNA from 1 species